AUUGAACGCUGGCGGCAUGCCUUACACAUGCAAGUCGACCGGCAGCGGGGGAGAAGCUUGCUUUUCCUGCCGGCGAGUGGCGAACGGGUGAGUAAUACAUCGGAACGUGCCCUGUAGUGGGGGCUAACUAGGCGAAAUAUUAGCUAAUACCGCAUACCACCUGAGGGUGAAAGUGGGGGACCGCAAGGCCUCAUGCUAUAGGAGCUGCCGACGUCUGAUUAGCUAGUUGGUGGGGUAAAGGCCUACCAAGGCGACGAUCAGUAGCUGGUCUGAGAGGACGAUCAGCCACACUGGGACUGAGACACGGCCCAGACUCCUACGGGAGGCAGAAGUGGGGAAUUUUGGACAAUGGGCGAAAGCCUGAUCCAGCAAUGCCGCGUGUGUGAAGAAGGCCUUCGGGUUGUAAAGCACUUUUGUCCGGAAAGAAAUGGCUCUGGUUAAUACCUGGGGUCGAUGACGGUACCGGAAGAAUAAGGACCGGCUAACUACGUGCCAGCAGCCGCCGCCGUAA
rnacentral:rRNA from 1 species